rnacentral:rRNA from 1 species
GACGAACCGUGCGAACGUUAUUCGGAAUCACUGGGCUUAAAGCGCGUGUAGGCGGGAGGGCACGUCCGUCGCUGAAAUCCCCCGGCUCAACCGGGGAACGGGCGCGGAUACGACCUUCCUGGAGGGGCGUAGGGGGACCUGGAACUUCCGGUGGAGCGGUGAAAUGCGUUGAGAUCGGAAGGAACGCCCGUGGCGAAAGCGAGGUCCUGGACGACUACUGACGCUGAGACGCGAAAGCCAGGGGAGCGAACGGG